rnacentral:misc_RNA from 1 species
UAGAGUUGCAAGACUCCCUAAACCAUUGUGAACCUACCUUCUACCGUUGCUUCGGCGGGCGGGCCCAGCGCCCCCCGGCCCCGCGGGCGCCCGCCGGAGGAUACCCAAACUCUUGACAUUAGUGGCCUCUCUGAGUAUUCUUUACUGAAUAAGUCA